AAUAAGUCUCUUCUAAAUGACGUCAAACCGUAUUAUAAGACCGGUUGGCGAGUUCGAGUCAAAUUGCUUAUCAGUGGAAACCAAACACCCGUUAUGGUGGAGAAACUCUUGAGCUCAUACUUGCAACGGAACUGUAAAGGUUGUAAAAAUACAUGUAAGAUAUAUAAGACAAAACACAUACAUGAUCAGUGACAUCAAGCAACACGUUGAUGGAGACUUAACAAUAACUUACAGCAACAUGGGGACAUGGACAACCUUGACUACCUGUUGAGCUGUAAAUAUGAUUUAAAC